rnacentral:rRNA from 1 species
AUGGAUAGCGAUCCAGUCCCGACCGCCACCUCCCCUCAUCCUGUCGAUGACGCUGAGGUGUUGUCUCAAGAGGCACCGGAUCGAGGGGAGACAGUCCCGGAGGCGCCUCAAGGCGACCUUCCGGGCUCCGGGAGCCGAGGGGACGGGGCCCUUGAGAGCUCCGAGUUCGGCCCUCAGCCGAACACCGCGCCAGACCCUUCAGCGAUUCCGGGCUCGGGCAGGCAGCCUCCUUCUAAGAGGGGCAAGACGCCUGUGCCGGUGACCUCUGUCCAUCCAGAGGCGCCGGACAGUCUACUAGAAGCGCUUUGCAGCGCUUCCAUCAACGAGGAGCACCGCACUAUCAUGAGUGCGGUGAUCCAGAAGGUUCAGUCCGCGAAGAGCAGAUUGACUGAAGCCUGUGCCAGCCUUCUAACAGGCUUCGAGCUAAGUGUUUUCAAAUGUAGUAGAAAUAUUACCGCAUAG